GAGCCGUGUGGUGAGCACAAAGCGAACUAUUCUUUCGCCUUUUACUAAAGAAUACCGUGUGCUCGCCACUUUUAAGCGGCAUUCCUCUAUUUUUGGAGAGGUUGCACUCAUAAAGUGCAGC